AGUGAACGCUGGCGGUAUGCCUAAUACAUGCAAGUCGAACGGCAGCACGGUAAGCGCUUUCUCUUGCGGUUGGCGAGUGGCGGAUGGGUGAGGCGUGCAUAGCAAUCUUCUAUGUCUGGGGUGAUAACGUGGGGAAACUUACACUAAUACCUCAUACUACGUACGGCUGAAAGCAGGAGAGCUUCACACUUUUGCCGUCUGAUAUAGCCGGUUCCGCGCUGCAUUAGCUAGUUGGUAAGGUAACGGCCUACCAAGGCAACGAUGCAUAGCUGAGCUGAGAGGGUGAUCAGCCACACUGGAACUGAGACACGGUCCAGACUCCUACGGGAGGCAGCAGUAGGGAAUCUUCCACAAUGGGCGAAAGCCUGACGCAGCAAUGCCGCGUGAGUGAUGAAGGUCUUCGGGUUGUAAAGCCCUGUUAUUGGGGAAGAAAAGAUGCGGGAGAAUCUCCGGCUGUCCUGACGGUACCUAAACAGAAAGCCACGGCUAACUUCGUG
rnacentral:rRNA from 1 species